UUGGCAGAGCAGCUACGGCCAGCCCAGCAGAAAGCAGCGGGCACCCGGGAGUGUCCCCAUCGAGCUGCGGCCUGGGAGGAAGGGGGUUGGAGACCCGUGACCCGAAUCUGGACAAGCGGCCACCGGUACGGGUGGCAUCCGGAGCAGUCCCGCCCUGGGCCGGGCUGCCCUCAACCAGCCUCUGGGGCAAGACCAGGAAGUCAGCAGUCUGCCAGGAUCAUCUCUACCUUCAGGAUGCCAACAAAGUUUGGGCUCCCAUCUGACUCUUUGCUGCUGCUCAACCCCGCAGGACAUGUUUGUGUUUCCACUGAAAUGUGAGAACUGUGCACACAUAUGAAUCUACCAUCCCCUCCUGCAGGCCUUCAGGCGGGCCCUCACAAAUACGCAACCCUUCCCCCCCAAAUCCAGGGCUGAAAACCAAUUGUGGAGAAGAGUGGCCAUAAACUAGGAUCACUGUUCAACAUGCUUUUGUGAUGACAGACACAUUCUGUAUCUACACUAAUGUAAUAGUCACCAACCACGGUUACCGAGAACUUGAUGUGAUUAGUGUAACCAAAUUUUAAAAGCCACAUGUGGCGAGUUAGUGGCAACUAUUUUGUAUAGUGCAGAUCCUAGAAAAAAUAGUGUGGGAAGUAAAAUACUGAAGAAUAUACUGAGAAGUUAGAAGAAUUGAACUUAAUAAAAUUGGCUGUUCUAUUUACUAAUUAUUUAUUUUCUUCCCACUUCUUUUAUAGCAACUUCUCAAUUUCUGCAGGCUCCUCCCUAAGUACCCAAAAGUUAAAUGUUGGUGUUGAUCAGGAUUCCAUCCUAGGGGAUUCUAUCCUUUUCCCAUUCUACCUGCUCUCCCUAGAAAAUUCUUGCUUCAAUUAUAAUUUAUAUGCUAGAUCAUGUUUUCCAACCUAACCUUCCAAGCACUGGAUUUAACUAUCCAAAUGCUUACUUGGCGUCACCAAUUAAUGUCCUGCAGGUACCAGAACACAUCCUCUCCUUACAUCCAAACUAAAAGAACCUGGUCCUGCUGCCAACUUCCAUACAUCCAGAUGUUUAUGCCGUAAUUUUGGGAGUAACCUUGAUUCUCUAACUCAGCUUUUCCAAUCAGUCAUGAAGUCUCACUAAUACCUCUUUCUAAGGCUCCCUUCAAUGUCUUUCUUUUCAUCCCCAAUGCUACAAUCCCAAUCAAAGCCAUGGUUACCUCUUGCCUAGAUUACUCCAUCAGGCUCUCCACCUGACUGCUUGAUCUCUAGUUUUGAUUCCCUUCAACUCAUUCUUCUCAAACUUAAAAAAAAAAAAAAGGACAUAUCAAAGGAUCUUAAGAGUAAAGAUGAAAAUUAAUCAAGUUGUGCAAAGGACUAAUUAUGUUACCUUCCCUGAUAAAUUUUCUUCAGCCAAUUAAAUAGUUCCAACUUGAAAGGUCUCCUUACCCUUAUAGCUUUUGUUCUUAUGAACA